rnacentral:rRNA from 1 species
GAUGAACGCUGGCGGCGUGCCUAAUACAUGCAAGUCGAGCGAACAGAUAAGGAGCUUGCUCCUUUGACGUUAGCGGCGGACGGGUGAGUAACACGUGGAUAACCUACCUAUAAGACUGGGAUAACUUCGGGAAACCGGAGCUAAUACCGGAUAACAUAUUGAACCGCAUGGUUCAAUAGUGAAAGGCGGCUUUGCUGUCACUUAUAGAUGGAUCCGCGCCGUAUUAGCUAGUUGGUAAGGUAACGGCUUACCAAGGCAACGAUACGUAGCCGACCUGAGAGGGUGAUCGGCCACACUGGAACUGAGACACGGUCCAGACUCCUACGGGAGGCAGCAGUAGGGAAUCUUCCGCAAUGGGCGAAAGCCUGACGGAGCAACGCCGCGUGAGUGAUGAAGGUCUUCGGAUCGUAAAACUCUGUUAUCAGGGAAGAACAAAUGUGUAAGUAACUGUGCACAUCUUGACGGUACCGGAUCAGAAAGCCACGGCUAACUACGUG